ACAAUCGUCGCUGCCUAAAAUAGCCCCUCUAGAAGACGCUUCCAUCAGGCUCCAAGGGAUUUAUGAAUGGCAAACUGACCCCAGCUAUCAAACAUCGUUGCGGCAACUACUUUACGAGCUUUUACCAGGGAAAACUGUGUCUAUACAGCAAGAAACAACAUGAUACCAUACCAGAACUGCAGCCCCUGUCCGUGACGCUCUAUCGUUAGCUGGGCCUGAUAAUCAGGGCAGCUAGCUGACAGACACCCCGUCCUCCAUGAGAACAUUUAGCACAGACACGGCGCAGAAUGCAUGUCUAAAAAUAUUACAGCCUAACAGGUUCAAUCUCAGCUCCAUCUCCUUUCUCAGUCUCCUCCAACAUGCCCAUCUUGGUGAGGAUCUGCCUGCCUUUCUCCUCCAGGUGACGUUUGGCCACAGGGAACUCAGAUAAUACAUCUGUCAGGUCUUCUUUGGACAAGCUGAAGAGAUCAGAGAACCCAAUGCUUCGGAUGUUGGCAGUCCUACGGUUGCCUGACUUGUUACCUAUAAGAAAACAAUGUGAUUCCUUGAAAAACAUGACACACACAAAAAUGUCAAGAAUGUUACUCAUGCAUGUUGGUUUAUUCAAGGCUUUCAAAACCAGCCAGUAAUUCUU